GAGUUUGAUCGUGGCUCAGAAUCAACGCUGGCGGCGUGCCUAAUACAUGCAAGUCGUACGCGAAGACCCCGCAAGGGUGUAUAGCGUGGCAAACGGGUGAGUAACGCGUGGGCGACCUGCCUCAGAGUGGGGGAUAACCUUCCGAAAGGAGGGCUAAGUACCGCAUGACAUGCUCCGUUUAGAUACGGGGACAGUCAAAGCCGGGGAUCGCAAGACCUGGCGCUUGGAGAGGGGCCUACGUCCGAUUAGCUAGUUGGUGGGGUAACGGCGUCACCAAGGCGACGAUCGGUAUCCGGCCUGAGAGGGCGGACGGACACACUGGGACUGAGACACGGCCCAGACUCCUACGGGAGGCAGCAGUGGGGAAUUGUUCGCAAUGGGCGCAAGCCUGACGACGCAACGCCGCGUGGAGGAUGAAGAUCUUCGGGUCGUAAACUCCUGUCGAAUGGGACGAAUGGGUAGCGGGUUAACAACCCGCGACCGUGACGGUACCGUUAAGGGAAACCCCGGCUAACUCCGUGCCAGCCGCCGCGGUAAC
rnacentral:rRNA from 1 species